rnacentral:rRNA from 1 species
AGAACGAACGCUGGCGGCAGGCUUAACACAUGCAAGUCGAGCGCCCCGCAAGGGGGAGCGGCAGACGGGUGAGUAACGCGUGGGAACAUACCCUCCGGUUCGGAAUAGCUCAGGGAAACUUGGAUUAAUACCGGAUACGGCCUAGCGGCGAAAGAUUCAUCGCCGGAGGAUUGGCCCGCGUCUGAUUAGCUAGUUGGUGGGGUAAUGGCCCACCAAGGCGACGAUCAGUAGCUGGUCUGAGAGGAUGAUCAGCCACAUUGGGACUGAGACACGGCCCAAACUCCUACGGGAGGCAGCAGUGGGGAAUAUUGGACAAUGGGCGCAAGCCUGAUCCAGCCAUGCCGCGUGAGUGAUGACGGCCUUAGGGUUGUAAAGCUCUUUCGCUAGGGACGAUAAUGACGGUACCUAGACAAGAAGCCCCGGCUAACUUCGCGCCAGCAGCCGC